UGUGUUGGAGAAUAAAGCCCUUAAAAUUAAGGGGUUGACGUUGGCCGAGUAGCUGGUACCGGGCAAUUUCUCUUCUUCUCCAUCGGUUGUGUCGAAGGAAUUUCUCCAUGACUCACGCCCUUCUCCGAAGAUGGAGGCCUCUCUCUGCGUUGAGAGCUGGAGCUCGGAGCUUCCGGUCAGACGCUGCACUGGAGGCCCUAUCCAAAGCUUCGGAAGACAAAGUCCCCAACUUAGUGCUAUACAACUACCCCUCUUUCUCUGGAGCUUUCUCGGCUCUCUUCGCCCACCUCUUCCACUGUCGCCUCAAUCUCCCUUGCCUCAUUUUGCCUUUCUCUUCCGUUGAGCCUCUCUGGGUUGAAGAUUUAUACAUAGAGGGGCUUAAGAGAUGCUAUCUGCUUGACUUUCUUGGGCCAAAAGGAUUUGCCAUGAAACUUGCACAGCGGUCAUCAUGCGAGAUCAUAGGUUUUGAUCACCGAAAAUCAGUACUUGCGCAGAUUCCCCCUGCUGAAGAUCAUCCUGAUAACCUCACAUUUCAUAUAGAUUUUGAGAAGAGUAGCUCUCGUGCUGUGUAUGAUUACUUUUCUGAUAAACUUACAGAUAUGAGAUUUACUAAUGGGUUGGUUGCAAGUUUGUUAGACCCAAAAGACCAGGAUCGCGUGGAAAUAAUUCUCAAGCUUAUUGAGGAUGGAGAUCUUCGCCGAUGGAGCUUAGCAGAUAUUAGGGCAUUUAAUAUUGGACUUAGGGAAUGGCGCUCAAGGUUGAACUGCAUCACUAAUCCAUACGUGUAUGAACAGUUACUGGAGUUAAGUUCCAAUGAUCUAAUUACUAAGGGAAAUUCCUAUAUUUCCUCUCUCCACACCGCUGCACAUAAAUCGCUGGCUAAUAUUUUCAAAGUUCGAUUGGGCAGGGGAUUAUACGGAGUGUGUCUGGGAGUUAAAGUGGAUCAGAAUUCGAACUUAAUUGAUGAAAUUGGCAAGCAACUUAGCGUAAAAAGUGCUGCAGCUGGUCUAAGGCCUAUAGGAGCUGUUGUUUACAUGCAACGAAAGAAUCUUAAGAUGUGCUUGAGGAGUACUGACAAUGACAUUGAUACCUCUGAAGUUGCAAAGGCAUACGGUGGAGGAGGUUCCCCAAGUUCUAGCUCCUUCAUUAUUCGGAUGGAUGAGUAUAACCAGUGGCUUUCGUGAACUCGUCAUGAGCAUAUCAAGCACGGCACCGCGGCAGCUUCUUUCCAGCACAACAAGCAAUAACACGUAGCACUGUUAUGAUACGGAGAAAAUGAAGAUCGAUAUGGAGAUAAUGAAGAUGGAUCUUGCUGGCAUGAAUGGAAUGCAGCAAGAGUAUUUCUUGAAUCUUCAAAAAGAGGUUUUCGAGAAAUCAAGGAAGCGAUUUUCAUCUCCAUCUCUAUCUCAACCUUUUGAAGAUGUGUAGUCUUUUGUUGGUGUAAUGAUUUGGGGUUGUUUUUAUUUUGUGGUUGAUUUGUUUUGGGGUUGGAGCCUAUGCUAUUUUGUGGUUUUUUGUUAUUUUGGGUCACAAAUAUGAGUGUUUGUGAAUGUGGGCAGUAACUAUAUAUGAAUGUUGUAUAGUGGACAGUGAUGAAACUUUUAUAUUUGGAUAUUGAUAUAGUAUAAAUUGUUCUUCAUAUUGUUCUCA